rnacentral:rRNA from 1 species
CACGCAGGCGGUGACUUAAGUGAGGCGUGAAAGCCCCGGGCUUAACCUGGGAAUUGCAUUUCAUACUGGGUCGCUAGAGUACUUUAGGGAGGGGUAGAAUUCCACGUGUAGCGGUGAAAUGCGUAGAGAUGUGGAGGAAUACCGAAGGCGAAGGCAGCCCCUUGGGAAUGUACUGACGCUCAUGUGCGAAAGCGUGGGGAGCAAACA